rnacentral:rRNA from 1 species
UACAGAGGGGGCGAGCGUUGUUCGGAAUUACUGGGCGUAAAGGGCGCGUAGGCGGCCCGCUAAGUCGAACGUGAAAUCCCCAGGCUCAACCUGGGAACUGCGUCCGAUACUGGCAGGCUUGAAUCCGGGAGAGGGAUGUGGAAUUCCAGGUGUAGCGGUGAAAUGCGUAGAUAUCUGGAGGAACACCGGUGGCGAAGGCGGCAUCCUGGACCGGUAUUGACGCUGAGGAGCGAAAGCCAGGGGAGCAAACGGG